GUUCGAACGGCAGCACAGGGAGCUUGCUCCCUGGGUGGCGAGUUGGCGAACGGGUGAGUAAUUACAUUCGGAACGUUAUUCUUGGUAGUUGGGGGAUUAGCCCGGCGAAAGCCGGAGUUAAUACCGCAUACGCCUCUACGGAGCAAAGCGGGGGACCUUUCGGGCCUCGCGCUAUCAGGGCGGCCGAUGGCAGAUUAGCUUGUUGGUGGGGUAAAGGCCUACCAAGGCAACGAUCUGGUAGCUGGUCUGAGAGGACGACCAGCCACACUGGGACUGAGACACGGCCCAGACUCCUACGGGAGGCAGCAGUGGGGAAUUUUGGACAAUGGGGGCAACCCUGAUCCAGCAAUGCCGCGUGUGUGAAGAAGGCCUUCGGGUUGUAAAGCACUUUUAUCUGGGAAGAAAUGGUUGAGGCUAAUACCCUUGACAGAUGACGGUACCAGAAGAAUAAGCACCGGCUAACUACGUGCCAGCAGCCGCGGUAAUACGUAGGGUGCAAGCGUUAAUCGGAAUGACUGGGCGUAAAGGGUGCGCAGGCGGUUUAUCAAGACGAAUGUGAAAGCCCCGGGCUUUACCUGGGAAUGGCAUGCGUGACUGAUAAGCUAGAGUAUGGCAGAGGGAGGCAGAAUUCCACGUGUAGCAGUGAAAUGCGUAGAGAUGUGGGAGAAUAUCGAUGGCGAAAGCAGCCUCCUGGGCCAUACUGACGCUCUGCACAAAGCGUGGGAGCAACAGGAUUAAUACCUGGUAUCCCCCCCUAACAUGUCACUAUUGUUGGGAAUUGAUCCUUAUACCUACCUACC
rnacentral:rRNA from 1 species